GUCUCCCACAGCCUCCAGAUAGGACCUCUGAUAGAGGCCCAUGGUGCUGCCAGGGAUGGCCAUGUUCCUGACUCUAGGCUCACACGAACACACUAGUUCCAAGAAGUUGGUGUCUCUGAGGCACUACAGGUCACUUAGGGCAAGCUCCCUGGAUGUGGGCCCUGCAUUACCCUCUUUCAAUACCUGGCUCCUCCAAGCAUGGGGAGAUGUUGGGGACUUUCCUUUUUUUUUUUCCCAGAUUCUUUUUCUGGCCUCUAGAAUGUUAUUUAAUAAGCAUGUACAUUUUUUAUGAUCAAAGCCAAUAAAUUAAUUUUAAAAAAGGCAGAAUUAGAGGUCCAAGCCUCUGCUUUUCCCUCUAGGAAAAAAAGCAAGAAAAUCCUGCUUUCUUCCCACCAGUCCAGAUUUCCUCAGAACCUAGCUUUCACCAGCCAGCACUGCCUCUGCUCUUCAAGUCCCUUCAGCCGCUGUAGGUCAUGCUGCAGUCUCUUUGCAGGUGGAGCAGCAGGCUUCCCACAUCCUCAAAACUAGGCUUUCUGGCCCAGGGUCCUUCUGUGAGCUGCUUCAAGGGGCCUCAGACUCCCACACCCUCCAUUGCUGCAUCUCCUCCAAGAAGCCAGAAUCCUCAGUCACUCACCAAGAUGUCCAGCUGCCAGUCUCCAGUGUCCAGCUCUGCACCAAAUGCCACCACUUCUAGGGACUCCCAGCAGCCGAGUUCCCUCACAGUGGCCAGUAUGAGAAGGGAGGGGGCAAACAACAAAGGGCAGGGAAGGGACCCCAAUAGCUGCAACCCAGGCUGACUUUCCCUAACUUCUUCUGUGACUGCAGAUGGGUCACUGUCUCUUUAAGCCUCAGUUUCCCAUUUGAUAUGCUUCCACGCAUCAAUCUCACAGAGACUGUGAUUAACCAUUUACAUAGAAGGGCUUUGUCCCUGUGGGGAGCCACUCCACAUUCAUGCACCUUUAAGUCCUCAUGCACCACGGGGAUCUGAAAGAUCAAUGUAGUCUGGCGUGGUAGGGCCAUGACUUGUGACUCUUGGGCUUUUCCCUUGCUGGGAUAACAAGGCAUGGCCCUAGGAGUAGGCAGCACCCAGAGGGGUUGAGUACACUCACCUGUUCCUUUGUAAUCCUACCCCUUUGCCCUUUUGGGGAUAGAAUGUUCCAUGGAACCUCCCCUUGUGUGUUCCUUGUAUAAGAAUAAAGAGUUCCAAUGGCUCUCUCUCUUUCCAAGGACUCUUAAGGUCGCAGAGCCAUCUCCGGAAUAUUGAAAAAGGU
rnacentral:lncRNA from 1 species